UACAGAGGUCUCAACCGUUGUUCGGAUUCAUUGGGCGUAAAGGGUGCGUAGGCGGUCGCGCAAGUCGGAUGUGAAAUCUUGGGGCUCAACCCCGAAACUGCAUUCGAUACUGCGUGGCUCGAGUACUGGAGAGGAGACUGGAAUUUACGGUGUAGCAGUGAAAUGCGUAGAGAUCGUAAGGAAGACCAGUGGCGAAGGCGAGUUUCUGGACAGUUACUGACGCUGAGGCACGAAGGCCAGGGGAGCAAACGGG
rnacentral:rRNA from 1 species